rnacentral:tRNA from 1 species
UUAAAGAUAAGCUAAUAUAAGCUGACGGGUUCAUACCCCGUCAAUGGAGACUCCUCUUUAAG